AUUGAACGCUGGCGGCAUGCCUUACACAUGCAAGUCGAACGGCAGCGCGGGAGCAAUCCUGGCGGCGAGUGGCGAACGGGUGAGUAAUAUAUCGGAACGUGCCCAGUAAUGGGGGAUAGCCCGGCGAAAGCCGGAUUAAUACCGCAUACGACCUACGGGUGAAAGGGGGGGAUCGCAGGACCUCUCGCUAUUGGAGCGGCCGAUAUCAGAUUAGGUAGUUGGUGGGGUAAAGGCCCACCAAGCCUGCGAUCUGUAGUUGGUCUGAGAGGACGACCAGCCACACUGGGACUGAGACACGGCCCAGACUCCUACGGGAGGCAGCAGUGGGGAAUUUUGGACAAUGGGGGCAACCCUGAUCCAGCAAUGCCGCGUGCAGGAAGAAGGCCUUCGGGUUGUAAACUGCUUUUGUCAGGGAAGAAAUCUUCUGGGUUAAUACCUCGGGAGGAUGACGGUACCUGAAGAAUAAGCACCGGCUAACUACGUGCCAGCCGCCGCCGUAA
rnacentral:rRNA from 1 species